rnacentral:rRNA from 1 species
UUGGAAAAAUAUUUUGCAUAUCAAUAAGCNGAGGAAAAGAAACCAACAGGGAUUGCCUCAGUAACGGCGAGUGAAGCGGCAAAAGCUCAAAUUUGAAAUCCCCCCGGGGAGUUGUAAUUUGAAGAUUGCGUCUUGGAGGCGACCGUGUCUAUGUUCCUUGGAACAGGACGUCACAGAGGGUGAGAAUCCCGUGCGGCACGGCCCCCGGCUCCUUAUAAGGCGCUCUCGACGAGUCGAGUUGUUUGGGAAUGCAGCUCAAAGUGGGUGGUAAAUUCCAUCUAAAGCUAAAUACAGGCGAGAGACCGAUAGCGAACAAGUACAGUGAUGGAAAGAUGAAAAGCACUUUGAAAAGAGAGUGAAACAGCACGUGAAAUUGUUGAAAGGGAAGGGCAUGCCGUCAGAUUGUCAGUGUGGGUAAGAAGCGGGGUACAAAGACUGUGGAACGUGGCCCUCGGGUGUUAUAGCCGCAGUUCAUGCCCCGUCUCUUUCCGAGGCCUGCUUUGAGGACACCGACGUAAUGACGGUACGCCGCCCGUCUUGAAACACGGACCAAAAGGCAAA